UGAUUUAGACCCUUCUGUAUUAUGCUGAUCUCUCUCUCUCUCUCUCUCUCUCUCUCUAUCUAUCUAUGUAUCUAUCUAUAUUGUUUUGAAGGUGAAGGGAAGAGUUGAAAAGGCAAUGAAGAGGAGAGAGAUGCCGUCCUUCGCCUAGGAAGGUGGCAGCAAAACCUGGGCCUGAAAGAUGGUCUCCUACUUAAUUUGACAGCUGACCUUCUGUUGCAGAUCUCUCCCUCAAAGUACUGACUCCCAUGCAUGUACCUGUAGGAAACCAAAACCCCAUCACAUUGGCUCAUCAGAUCAUAUCCACGCAUGGUCCAUUUUUAGUUUUUACUUGUCUCGUAAUUUAUUUCCACAGUUUAAAAGUCGUUUAGUAGAUUCCAUUAACAGUUUUGUGAAUGCUUUUUUACAUGUGUAAAUGCAAGAAAAAAGAGAGGAAGAAUUUGAUA